rnacentral:rRNA from 1 species
AACGAACGCUGGCGGCAUGCUUAACACAUGCAAGUCGAACGAGACCUUCGGGUCUAGUGGCGCACGGGUGCGUAACGCGUGGGAAUCUGCCCUUAGGUACGGAAUAACUCAGAGUAAUUUGUGCUUAUACCGUAUGAUGUCGAAAGACCAAAGAUUUAUCGCCUAAGGAUGAGCCCGCGUAAGAUUAGCUUGUUGGUGAGGUAAAAGCUCACCAAGGCGACGAUCUUUAGCUGGUCUGAGAGGAUGAUCAGCCACACUGGGACUGAGACACGGCCCAGACUCUUGCGGGAGGCAGCAGUGGGGAAUAUUGGAAAAUGGGCGAAAGCCUGAUCGAGCAAUGCCUCGUGAGUGAUGAAGGCCUUAGGGUUGUAAAGCUCUUUUACCAGGGAUGAUAAUGACAGUACCUGGAGAAUAAGCUCCGGCUAACUCCGUGCCAGCCGCCGCGGUAA